GGUGAACGCUGGCGGCGGGCCUAAUACAUGCAAGUCGAGCGAACAGACAAUAAGCUUUCGCCUCUAACGUUAGCGGCGGGCGGGUGGGUGAGGCGUGGAUAGCCUACUUCUAUUACGGGGAGAACUUCGGGAAACAGGAUACACUACUGGCGAAUAUGUUGAACGGGAGGGUGCAAUAGAGAAUGAGGGUUUGCCUGUUACUAUGAGACGGUGCCGGAUUAGCUAGUUGGGGGGGUAAAGGCACACCAAGGCGACGAUCCGUAGCUGGUCUGAGAGGAUGAUCGGCCACACUGGAACUGAGACACGGUCCAGACUCCUACGGGAGGCAGCAGUAGGGAAUAUUGCGCAAUGGGCGCAAGCCUGACCCAGCCACGCCGCGUGAGUGAUGAAGGCCUUCGGGUUGUAAAACCCUUUUAUUGGGAAAGAAAAGAUGUGUAUUAAAAUCCCGCUGUUUUGACGGUACCCAAUCAGAAAGCACCGGCUAACUACGUG
rnacentral:rRNA from 1 species